rnacentral:lncRNA from 1 species
UUGUCACUUUUUUCACAUUUUAAAUGAAUUGUUUCUUUUAUUUUUGUGUAUGGUUAAUAACCGAAUAACCGAACCAAACCAAACCGAAAUCGAUAAUCACCAAACCGAUAAAUGUAUAUUAUAUUUGGUUUGGUUUGGUUUUGAUAAUUUUAAAACCGAUUAAGUUGGUUUGGUUUUGGUUUUGACCAAUAACCGAUCCAAACCAACCCGUGAACACCCC